CACCACUGGACAGAUCUGGUGAAGCCUGAAGACUGCAGCUUAGUUACAGAAACAGAACAGAGCUGUGCAUAUAAGGAGCAUGGAUUACAUGUAGGCCUCCAGUCCAAGACCCGCUCCUCCUCGCACAAUGACUCCUCAGAAAUAAUUCCCUCCUUGGCAGGAAGCACCGGGCUAAAAGGUUGAAAAACACAUCAUCUGUGAUCUCAACUGUGUAUCCUUGGCAUGUGAGUGAAAUGCAAGCGUUUCAUGUCGUAGUUCUGUCCACAUGGUGGAGCAGUGAUGCAGUUGUAAAAAGCAAAGCAAUGGAAUUAUGAACGGAAUGUUUUUGACGGCACAAGUGAAGUUGUACCAUGUGUUGCAGAUGAAUUGGAUGCCGUGUUUUUAGUAAAAAAAUUGAAAAAAUAAAAACGAAUGUUCAUCAGUAUUGAAACAUUAUGGCAGUUGAAAAUACUGGUGGUGAAACAAUAUUUUGCAUGUGCCUCUGAGUCAGAUACAGAACAUUUGCAUUUAUUCAUUCAGUUGAUGGUUUUCUGUUUGACACAUUUAUAUAG